rnacentral:rRNA from 1 species
UACAGAGGGUGCAAGCGUUGCUCGGAAUCAUUGGGCGUAAAGGGCAAGUAGGUGGUCUCAUUUGUCUCGUGUGAAAGCCUUGGGCUUAACCCAAGAAGUGCGCGAGAAACGGUGAGACUCGAGUUCUGGAGAGGGUCGUGGAAUUCCCGGUGUAGCGGGUGAAAUGCGCAGAUAUCGGGAAGAACACCUAUGGCGAAGGCAGGCUCUC